UUGGUCAAGGGAGGCAACUCUGAACCAGCCAUGCCGCGUGCAGGAAGAAUGUCCUAUGGAUUGUAAACUGCUUUUGUACGGGAAGAAUAGUAAUUACGUGUAAUUAUUUGACGGUACCGUAAGAAUAAGGAUCGGCUAACUCCGUGCCAGCAGCCGCGGUAAUACGGAGGAUCCGAGCGUUAUCCGGAAUUAUUGGGUUUAAAGGGUCCGUAGGCGGCCUUGUAAGUCGGGGGUGAAAUCUCUUAGCUCAACUAAGAACUUGCCUUUGAUACUGCUUGGCUUGAAUCAUUANGAAGUAACUAGAAUAUGUAGUGUAGCGGUGAAAUGCUUAGAUAUUACAUGGAAUACCGAUUGCGAAGGCAGGUUACUACUAGUGUAUUGACGCUGAUGGACGAAAGCGUGGGUAGCGAACAGGAUUAGAUACCCUGGUAGUCCACGCCGUAAACGAUGGAUACUAGCUGUUCGAUUUCGGAUUGAGUGGCUAAGCGAAAGUGAUAAGUAUCCCACCUGGGGAGUACGUUCGCAAGAAUGAAACUCA
rnacentral:rRNA from 1 species